UACGAAGGGGGCUAGCGUUGUUCGGAAUUAUUGGGCGUAAAGGGCGCGUAGGCGGUGCGGUAAGUCACCUGUGAAAUCCCCAGGCUCAACUUGGGAACUGCAUCCGAUACUGGAUGGCUUGAAUCCGGGAGAGGGAUGCAGAAUUCCAGGUGUAGCGGUGAAAUGCGUAGAUAUCUGGAGGAAUACCGGUGGCGAAGGCGGCAUCCUGGACCGGCAUUGACGCUGAGGAGCGAAAGCGUGGGGGAGCGAACAGG
rnacentral:rRNA from 1 species